GAGGAAUAUUGGUCAAUGGGCGAGAGCCUGAACCAGCCAAGUAGCGUGCAGGAUGACGGCCCUAUGGGUUGUAAACUGCUUUUAUGUGGGGAUAAAGUGAGCUACGUGUAGUUUAUUGCAGGUACCACAUGAAUAAGGACCGGCUAAUUCCGUGCCAGCAGCCGCGGUAAUACGGAAGGUCCAGGCGUUAUCCGGAUUUAUUGGGUUUAAAGGGAGCGUAGGCCGUGGAUUAAGCGUGUUGUGAAAUGUAGACGCUCAACGUCUGAAUUGCAGCGCGAACUGGUUCACUUGAGUAUGCACAACGUAGGCGGAAUUCGUCGUGUAGCGGUGAAAUGCUUAGAUAUGACGAAGAACUCCGAUUGCGAAGGCAGCUGACGGGAGCGCAACUGACGCUGAAGCUCGAAGGUGCGGGUAUCGAACAGGAUUAGAUACCCUGGUAGUCCGCACAGUAAACGAUGGAUGCCCGCUGUUGGUACUUGGUAUCAGCGGCUAAGCGAAAGCAUUAAGCAUCCCACCUGGGGAGUACGCCGGCAACGGUG
rnacentral:rRNA from 1 species